GGCUGGUCCCAGUACUGUGUUGGUUGUGUUUGCAACUAAUUGAUCACAACCAGUCACAGAUUCCUUUGUUCCUUCUCUGCUCCUACUGCUUCACUUGACCAGCCUAAA
ensembl:misc_RNA Y_RNA Y RNA